UACGGGGGGAGCAAGCGUUGUUCGGAUUUACUGGGCGUAAAGGGCGCGUAGGCGGCGCAACAAGUCACUUGUGAAAUCUCCGGGCUUAACCCGGAGCGGUCAAGUGAUACUGUCGUGCUAGAGUGCGGAAGGGGCUACUGGAAUUCUCGGUGUAGCGGUGAAAUGCGUAGAUAUCGAGAGGAACACCUGCGGCGAAGGCGGGUAGCUGGGCCGACACUGACGCUGGAUGCGCGAAAGCGUGGGGGAGCAAACAGG
rnacentral:rRNA from 1 species